ensembl:lncRNA
CGGAAGUUGAUCGCGGAAACGAAACGGCCGCCAGCUGCAGUCCGUUACAUCAGAGAGAGCAAGAUGGCGAGAGCUUUUUGGAAGUAAAACAAGCGGAGGGACGACAUACACCGAAGAACCGUGCAGAAGAAUUCCUCCACGUGUCAAACAGAAGGGCGGUAUAAUUUUCGCAGAAGUUGAUUGGCCAAGUCAAUGUUUGCCCGGGGCAACGCACCGACCGGGCAUACAGAUGACACCACGUGAGCGGCUGUUGUGUGCAGGUGGAGAAAUGUCUCCGUCCUUCCUGUGUCCUCGACGCAGGUCUGAUGGCACAGGGGGAAAUCCUGUCUCAGCUCAUGUCCCCCCCCCCCCCCCCCCCCCCCGCUGGGAUGUGGAGGUACGCUCGGUUUCAUCGCCCUGUUCAUGACUGUUAUUGCUCAAAAGUGGAAGAUUAUGAUUACCUGGAAGCCUCAGUCCCGGCUCUGUUUCUGCCUGCAGAGUAACGGCGAGUAUUCCAGGUCCAAAGGGAUGAAUUUAAUCUGCAGAUGGUUAUCAAUCUAAAAGUGGUUUUGCCCUCUUGAAAGGGAUCUCCAUGCUUUUGUUGUCAAGUUGUAUUUCAACCAUUUCCUCCCGUGUUCAUUCGCUCUCACUCACAACUCCCCUCUGUAUUAUACGGCUUAAUUUUGCUGAAGAGCUGCAAAUGUCACAGUUCAGUGGAAUUUUGAGGCCUCUAAAAUCCCAGAGACUGUGCCUGAUAGAUUUCAGUAAACUAUGAAAUUAAAUAAGGAACCUCCUGUGUGAAUUGGAUUUAAAUAUUCCUAUUACUCCGGCAAAUGAAUAAGAAGAAAAGUAAGAUUAACUUUUAAAUGAUGGUGAGAAUCCUCCAGUGCUACGGCUUCAGAACGAGGUCAUUAGUGUAAGUGUGAUGCUUCAUAAUCCCUCCCAGCGGCGAGCGGGACACCGCACAUCCAUAUCGACUCCCCACAGAUAAAAGUAUUUAUUUCAGGAUCUUUCCUGGACAGUGAGGACAAACAACAGUAAGCCACGAAUCCACCUCCAUGUGAUGGAUCCAGGUGAAAACAAGCUUCACGCUCCCCGCGGCCUCAUUCAUCACCCGAUUAUCAUUCAUGUCUGUUGAGGGUUUCCAUGAUUGUAGCUUGGAUUAUUUCAGAAAGUCGAUGUAUUUCCAAUAUUUUCCUUCUUCCACCAAACGAUUGCGAAAACAUUACAUCAACAACAACAAGGACUACAUUUGCGCGGAGAAGGUUUUAACUUCACUUUGAGUCCUUAGCCUUUUGAAGUAUUGCAGAGCAUGAGCUUACAUUUCAUUUCGCCCAGGCUUUGCACCUGAGACACACACACACACACCUUUAAGAUGCAAUGAAAGGAAAUAAUAACUGAAGCUCUCUGAAUUAAUUAACUCGAGUAUAAACUUGACUUUGAUUGCAAAGCGAAAUUGGCUUUGACUUGACUUCUAGUUGUCAUUCAUCUUUUGGGGCAGCUGAAACCUUUCAGGCUUUAACCUGCUGUGUAUUUUGGCCUUUGCGAGAGAAAGAGAGGCAAACAUCUGGAUUCUUCCCAUGAUUGUCAGGAAGCAC